AUGUUUGAAGGCAAAAAUUUUCAGCUGCAAAACGUUUUCCAUUUCUUCAAAAAUGCAAUUAAAAUAUAGCGCUGCACUUACACAAAAAUCAAACAAUGUGUUGCACAUCUGUGAUUUGUUUACAUAUCAACUGUGAAUGACUGGUUUCUGCCAGCUGGGAAAGAUUUUGCGCAGCCAACUUCAAGGUAAAUAAAUAUUUUUAUAUUUACAAUUAAUAGCUGGGUUUUAUUUAUAUUUAUGACUCUAUCGUCGUCUCACAUCGUAAGUUUAGGUUAUAAGGAAGAUAAGACUUCAUCGCUAAUGGCUCCUAAUGUCUUUGUAUGAAAACUCGACUCUUUUACUAAAUCUAUGCGUAUCCUAUCGCUCAGAAAGACAGCCGUCGCGAGCCUUGCAGCUACGAACUAGUUUGGGCGGCUUUAUGCCGAUACGCGUCCGGAACGGUAAAACAGCUUGUACGGCUGUAUGCCGACACUCGUCCCUAAAGGGUUAAAGAAGUAUUUGCGUACAUAAGGUAGUAAACGGCGACGUUCCUCUGUAAACUUGGGAUCAUCACUGAAAAAAGCAUAACAACAACCAGAAAAAGACCUGUGACACUGCGGUUUACGCUAUCGAAAUGACCCGGGCUAUUGUCCGAGUUCAGCAGCGUACAAUGAAUGUUUUAUGCUGCUACACAGCAAUAGUGCAGUAAACAAAAAAGCAGAUAUGCGCCAGUGCUGAAGAAACGCAUUUGUGGGCUUGCUAUUGCCGACUGACGGACGACCGCUGUGUGAGAGAAACCCGUUUCCCUAUCAUUUUUGAUGCUGCAUAUCAGUUGUUGUUGUUGUAGCAGUUAUCAAGCCCUGCUACGCACGGUAGAGUCACCGGCCGCUGUGGUCGUUCUCAUCUAACGGUAGACCAAGGAAACAUGCUGCUUCGUCGAGAUGGGUCCAAAGGGAGAGAGGUGUUAGGUGAGUGGGUUUAAGGGGGCACAAGAGUAUGUCUUUAGUGUCGUGCAGGGUACCUUCACAUGCUGGACAUAUGUUGAGUAUGUCAUGGUCGAGUACAUCGAGAUCGCGCUUGGUAACACGACGCUUGGAUCUGUCAAUGGAAUGAUGUAUUGUGAAUCGUCGGCAAAAAUAGCCCGCGCUUCGCUUCGGGUCCGACCAAAACAAUCAACAAAAGUGAUUGCCACUUGUUGUUGUAGCAGUUCAUGUUGUUGUUGUUUUUGUUGUUGUUCUUGUAGCAGCAUAAAUAAUCCUCAUACAUAUACUAAGAAUGCUGCUGAAGUGACAGUCCUUGGCCGGUUAUGAAUCCGGCUCGUAGACGUAGUUACGUUGGACCGACUGUCGAUUAGCAGUGCAUCUGUCAUUUUGCUUGUUGGGUUUGACCACGUUACGAUGUACCAGGUUACAGGUCUUCCAGUGCUCUACCUAUUUAGCCCGCUGGUAUUGAUUUACCAGUUGCUGUAUCACUAAAGUGAGAUCUUUCAUCUGAGGAUCCCCGGGAUCGGCCUCGUGUGGGUGGUCACGCUCGUUCGCUAACACGGCUGCUUCCGCUCGGAAAUUACGACGAAUGUUCUUUGGUUGUCUAACGGGUACGAUGCGAGCCGUGGCAGUGAUCGAUUUGCGUCCGCCUACGCGCUCAUCGGUGGGAAUGAGAAGAGGCGUUGAAGGUGGCCUCAUAUCAGGUGCCAAUCAGCUUUAUUCAAGUUAAUAUAAAAGCGGUGAUUCGCGGAAGUACAUCAGCUAGGUUUAUCGAUCGAGACAUAUUGGGCAAGUGGUGUCAUGUAUUUGAUUUCAGGUCCCAUGUCGGUGUGUCAUGAAAACACUACUACAGCGAUCUGCACUCUACAUUUUAACUGAAAAGAUUCUUGCAUCGAAAUUGAUUUCUAGUUGAUCCUUCUUUGGCAAACGGUGCAGAAAUUGAUUCCAGAUCUAGAGUUAGGCUCGAACCUAACCUUGAAGAGAACUCUGCUGGAUAGAGUUGCUUCAGUGGCGAAAGACGAAGGAUGAGGUUCAGCGCGCUAAGCAAAACCGGUUUACUGGGGUGGAAUCCCUUGAGCGGCGAAACCCUCAUUGAUUUCGGUACGUAGAACGGGCUUCCAUGGGAAUACUCUAAAUCAGGGUCGGUUGAUGGUUGGUCUUUGAUUACGGUAUUCAUGGCGUAAGAGUUGAUUAAGAUCUUAAUCGUCUCUUAAUGAAUGUCGUUAAUUACCCAAUGAUGAUCCUUCGAGAUCAAUGAUUUUUGUGUGCCUUGGUGAACCUCGUAUUUGAGCUCAAAGAGCUAAAUGAUGUACAUAGGAUGCAUAUCACUUUUUUUGCUACUAAAGUGGGACCAUAAGAGCUUCACUGUGCAGGAGGUGUUCGGACAAUAUCAGAAAACUCCCCAUAUAUGUCGUAACAGGUCUGUGCUUCGUCAUCUACGGGCUUCUAAUAAAUGUUCGGUAUUGCGAAAUGUGCAAAUACGGUUAUUUACCUUUACCCCAAGAUAUGUUGGUGAUUGAAGGACUUUGUUGCGAUUCACUGUCCUUUGGUUAGAUUUGAGUUAGUAAGGUACAGAAGCAGAGAGAGUCUGACCUGAGGAUGUCGAGAUCCAGAAGUUCAAAGGUUAGUACGAAACCUCGGCAACCCAUUUUAAAUUCUUCUUGGCGGUAAGUGCUAUGGUAACUGUGCGAGCUAUGCUGGUGCUCUUCGCUACAGGUUAAAGGGGAGAUAUUAUAUUGCCCGACUCCCCUCGAGAGCCGGGUUUUGAGUUAUGCGGCAUUAACAUCACUCCAUUAGCUGUUAAUAAUUCAGAGAAAGGUAGCGUGGUGAGCAACAGAAAGAUGACAUCGUUGAAGUAGUUUACUUCUGUUAUGCCUAAAUUUUUUAGGGUCAGCUUCAGAUUUUGUCGACAAUUUGCUGAAACGACCCCUCCAACUGCGAAAUUCGGUCUUCGGAUUCAUCGAAUACAUCCACCUGACUUGAAGUGGGUAGCAACAGUCAUCACAUGCGGAAUGGGCUUUCGCUAACUCGUCCAUUCUGUGCUGUAAUGAGAUCUAUGAAAACAUUGAAAACUAAUUUUAUAUACAUAUUUACUUACAUUAAAAAAUACCCUUA